ensembl:lncRNA
AUGCUCUGCCGGGUACCCGGAAACCUGGGAGGUGCUGACACAGCGCUGCCGCCUUCAGCCGGAGGGGAACUUCUCUGGCAGGCGGCGCAGAGCGGAGCUUCACUUCCCGUUUCCGUCCCGCCCGUUGGGCGUUUUCUCCAGAGGUGCAAUUUGCUGGUACGCGGCGGGCUGCCAGGUUACCGUGUGAGCUCUUGUCUGAGGCCCAAUGGAAUUAGGUUAGGAGAAUGUAUGCCACAGAUUUCCAUGGCAACAGGAGCGGGGAGCAUCUGGAAUAAGGAGGAUCGGCGCCGGGGGCACAAUGCGCAUUCCGUGACUAAGUUGAUUUAUAGGGUCGGGCACCAGAGCGGGCGGGCGGGCGGCUCGGUUUACGCGUCCAAUCAGCCUCUGAAAACAAACGUGAAAAAGCUGUGCGGGAACGGCAAGAAUGCGAUGAAACUACCUCCAUUAUGCAAGAAAAGUUUGCGAGCUCACUUAAAAUAGAUUUAGCUUCUGUCGAGAAGGAGGCGACUUGGUUAAUUGGUUAUGGCCUUCUGGCGAAUGAGUUCUGACGUAGCAAACCUCCAACGAGGGAUCAGCUGUUCCUGCUGCCUUCUUCUGGGAGACGGAGACCUCGACCAUCGGAUGAGCACAAACGACAGUCGUCUUCCUCCCGGGGAGUAGGAAUCCUUUGUGUUCGUUUAGACCAUUUUGCUGCGACUGCGGCGCCAUUAAGUGUUUUAAAAAGGCGCAGAGAGGCUGAUUUUGAGAUUUAGACGCCUGAACCGAUCCGAGAUGAUUAUUAGCUGCAUUGGAGUUCCGGGCUCAAAGUGAUAAUCAGCUCGCUGUUCACUUCGUAACAGAAUUGGACCACAACGCGGUCGGCGGUUUUAACGAGGGGAGAACUAAGCGCAACCUCUUUAGAAGGCGAAACGAAUGUGUGUUUAGAGAUUCUUCGCAUGCGAGUGCGUUGCAAUUAUUAUAAAAGGAAAUCCUGCUGCCGCUCGGGUUGAAGCGCUCCGGGUUGCAAUAAGGAAGUGCACCUGCUUUCUAAGCCCCCCCCCCCCCCCGCGCCCCCCCCCCCCCGCCCCCACCCACACACCCCCCCCCCUCUCUCUCCCCCCCCCCCCCCCCCCAGAUGUGUCCCAUCUGUACAACUUCUUCCCCUCCUCCCUGUCGAUCACUCUCUUCAGGCUACAGUCUAUAAUGAGCAUUUCCUCCUAGACCCCCUCCCCCCUCCUCACCUCCCCGCCACCUAUUCUCUCACUCCCCCCCCCCCCCUUUCCUGUCCUCCCCUUCUCACUGUGUGCAGAAUUGGAGAAGCUUAUCGCCUAGCAACCACAAUUAAAGUACAACAAGUCAGCAGCAGCAGCAGCCGCGUCGGUGUGAGCUGCACAAACCUCCGUGUGACCAGCGGCUUCAGGCAGCGAGGAGGAGGAGGAGGAGGGAGGAAGAGAAGCGGAGAAAUCGAGCGAGCUGGACGGGGAGGGAGGGGAAAAACGCAGCCGGGGGAGUUGAAGCCGGACAGGUGAACAGCAAUUAGAGCCGCGGUGAGGACUCUGGGAUUUGGAAACGAGAGAGAGAGACGAGGAAAAUGCGGGGAGAGCGGAGCAGCGAGGCGACAGGUAUGCAGGAAUGAAUGGACUCAAAGUGAAGGUAUGCCGCACAUUUCUCUGCGUAUUACUGCUCCCGUAGUUGUUUUUUCUCUUCUUUUCUUUGCUCGUUAAUGUUCAUUGGAAGAUAAGUUGGAUCGGAGGCAUUUUGCAGGAAUGCAUCACAUAUUGAUGACACACAGCGCUGAGCGAACGCUGUCAAGGUAUUCAUUCAAACCGCACUGAGGAAGAUGGAGACGCCUGUGAAUUGUCUUCAUUAUUAUUAUCAGAGUCAUAUGAUCUCUGCCGUAUGGAAUGUUUUGUGAUUUACUUAACGUGCGUGAUCAUCAUUGGGAUAAUUGACCCAGGUGUCUAACAGAUGUCAGGUGGGAUUCUCCUGCUGCCACUGGCAUAGAAACGUGUUGUCUUUCGGCUCUGAGGGAUUUAAAGAAAACGAUGAUCAGCUUCGGCUGUUUGUUCUGAUACGAAAUGUUCCCCUCAUUUCUUCUGCGAUUGUUAGCGAUGCUUCCACGUGGACAGACGUGUGUGUGGGAGAGGGCGCGGGUUCCAAGUUAAAGUAAUGACAGGCCAAAUGUCUAAUAUUGUUCACAUAUUAUAUAUAUUAUAUUAUAUAUGAGGCUAUUGUGCACACUCGCCGCCAUGCGGCCGUCACUGCAGCCUAAAAGGUGGCGCUGAAAUCGAGCUCCUACGCCUCCCCCCCCCCGCCCUCCCGCAGACCUGUCUUUCAAACGAAGGACACCCACCCGCUCUCGUCCUCGUGGCAGAGAGACCCCGCCUGAGGGCACAGCGGGGGAGCGGGGAGGUGAAAGGUCAGUGGUUCUGUACGCUGUCCCCACGGGGAGGACCGAGCUCGAUCGCACAGAGAUGUCAAUCGCUGGUCCAACUGUCUCUGCACUGCGCACGCACGCACACACAAACACACACAGACGUUCCGUUUGCGAUUCAAAGGGAGGCCGCGCUCCCUCACUCAACGUGGCGCUCCAACGCUUUGCUGCAGGGUCACAUGACAAAAAAGGAGCUGGCACCAAAGUGACCCACGGACGCCCGCUGCCGACCCCGAGCAGCUUCGGAGGAGUCAGUGGUCAUUGAAGGUCUCUGAACACGUCCAGACCUUUUACCGACAUCUCACAAAGGGCCUCGGGUUCAAAACCAGACCCAAUGCAUGCUGGGAGCAUCUUUGUUCGGUGUCAGUGAACAU